rnacentral:rRNA from 1 species
AGAGUUUGAUCCUGGCUCAGGAUGAACGCUAGCUACAGGCUUAACACAUGCAAGUCGAGGGGCAGCAUUUCAGUUUGCUUGCAAACUGGAGAUGGCGACCGGCGCACGGGUGAGUAACACGUAUCCAACCUGCCGAUAACUCGGGGAUAGCCUUUCGAAAGAAAGAUUAAUACCCGAUGGCAUAAUUAGACCGCAUGGUCUUAUUAUUAAAGAAUUUCGGUUAUCGAUGGGGAUGCGUUCCAUUAGGCAGUUGGUGAGGUAACGGCUCACCAAACCUUCGAUGGAUAGGGGUUCUGAGAGGAAGGUCCCCCACAUUGGAACUGAGACACGGUCCAAACUCCUACGGGAGGCAGCAGUGAGGAAUAUUGGUCAAUGGACGAGAGUCUGAACCAGCCAAGUAGCGUGAAGGAUGAAGGUUCUAUGGAUUGUAAACUUCUUUUAUACGGGAAUAAACGGAUCCACGUGUGGAUUUUUGCAUGUACCGUAUGAAUAAGGAUCGGCUAACUCCGUGCCAGCAGCCGCGGUAAUACGGAGGAUCCGAGCGUUAUCCGGAUUUAUUGGGUUUAAAGGGAGCGUAGAUGGGUUGUUAAGUCAGUUGUGAAAGUUUGCGGCUCAACCGUAAAAUUGCAAUUGAUACUGGCAGUCUUGAGUACAGUUGAGGUAGGCGGAAUUCGUGGUGUAGCGGUGAAAUGCUUAGAUAUCACGAAGAACUCCGAUUGCGAAGGCAGCUUACUAACCUGUAACUGACAUUGAUGCUCGAAAGUGUGGGUAUCAAACAGGAUUAGAUACCCUGGUAGUCCACACGGUAAACGAUGAAUACUCGCUGUAGGCGAUAUACAGUCUGCGGCCAAGCGAAAGCAUUAAGUAUUCCACCUGGGGAGUACGCCGGCAACGGUGAAACUCAAAGGAAUUGACGGGGGCCCGCACAAGCGGAGGAACAUGUGGUUUAAUUCGAUGAUACGCGAGGAACCUUACCCGGGCUUAAAUUGCAACCGAAUAUGGCGGAAACGCUAUAGCUAGCAAUAGCGGUUGUGAAGGUGCUGCAUGGUUGUCGUCAGCUCGUGCCGUGAGGUGUCGGCUUAAGUGCCAUAACGAGCGCAACCCUUGCCGAUAGUUACUAACAGGUUAUGCUGAGGACUCUGUCGGGACUGCCAUCGUAAGAUGUGAGGAAGGUGGGGAUGACGUCAAAUCAGCACGGCCCUUACGUCCGGGGCUACACACGUGUUACAAUGGGGGGUACAGAGGGCUGCUACCACGCAAGUGGAUGCCAAUCCCAAAAACCUCUCUCAGUUCGGAUUGAAGUCUGCAACCCGACUUCAUGAAGCUGGAUUCGCUAGUAAUCGCGCAUCAGCCACGGCGCGGUGAAUACGUUCCCGGGCCUUGCACACACCGCCCGUCA